GACGAACGCUGGCGGUGCGCCUUAUGCAUGCAAGUCGAGCGAAGCUUUUCAGUAGUUUACUACAGAAAAUGACUGAGCGGCGAACGGGUGAGUAACGCGUGAGCAAUCUACCUUAGUUACAGGGAUAGCCCGAGGAAACUCGGAUUAAUACCUGAUAUUCUUUAAAUUUCGCAUGAAAUUAAAAGGAAAGGUCAGCCGAACUAAGAUGAGCUCGCGUUCUAUCAGCUAGUUGGUGAGGUAAAAGCUCACCAAGGCUACGACGGAUAGCUGGUCUGAGAGGACGAUCAGCCACACUGGGACUGAGACACGGCCCAGACUCCUACGGGAGGCUGCAGCAGGGAAUAUUGUGCAAUGAACGAAAGUUUGACACAGCGACACCGCGUGUGGGAUGACGGAUCUAGGUUUGUAAACCACUUUCAGGAGGGAAGAAAAUGACGG
rnacentral:rRNA from 1 species